rnacentral:ncRNA from 1 species
CUUAUCAAGAGCGGCGGAGGGACAGGCCCUGUGAAGCCCGGCAACCUGCAUUUGUAUGUAAGGUGCCAAAUCCUGCGGGAAACCGAAAGAUAAG